AAAGGUGAGGAAUGCCAUAAAGAGGAUCAAAGAGAAGAGGAAAGCCUUGUCUUUCACGGUGAGCCAAAAAGCAUUCAGCGACAUCCGUACUAACAUUUUGAUUAUUCUCAACCUGGAGAAAAACAUUAUGCUAAUUCAGGGUGAACAUGCAUUGAAUACACAAUCAGACAGCGUCAUGUAAACUUCUCAAUGCAAUCUCAUUGGUUGUAGAACUGUUCCCAGCCAAUCAGCUUUCUGCCGUCCCAGAGGGGUCCAGCCCAGACGUGGACCCACAGUCUGCCACCUCCCUCCAGCCCAGAGACCAGCGACAUCUCAGGCCCCGGCAGCACCACCUCCACCUCACUGGUCAUCAAGAGCGAGAGUUUUGGAAAAGAAAGUAGUUUCUCCUUGAAACCUGCAUCAGGAAACCAGGUAUGUUUGGUAUUAUGCAUCUAUAGAGACUCUAUCCUCUCAUUUGGCCUACCAUCACUCCUAAAUGGUUCAUUGUGUAUUUUACGAAUUCUGAUCCAUCUCCCAGACAUCAACACGUCUGUUUUACUUUACCAGGUGGUUCAACUGACUGCUUUCAAGCCCUCAGGUAUUUUCACCAUUUCCUAGGCAGCUGAAUCUGACUUUUAUUUAAUCUUGCUUUAUUAAAAAUAAUGUGGCUGGCACACAUACAAUAAGGAACCAGGUUACAUUGUCUACUGACAAUUUGGUCAUAAUUUAAUCCCCUUCUGUUAGUAUCUAUAUUUUCUUCAGAUUUAAAUGAUUUUUGAUUGGACAAUUAUUUUGACUACAUGUAAUAACAUCAGGUGUGUGUUUUGUAAACAUAUUGACAGCUCUUUUUUGGUUUUUGAAGUGGGCCAGGUCAUUUCACCAUGUCGAGAGCCUGGAACUAUAAGGUUCUAUCUGCAAAAAAGAGGAUUCUGAGAUAAUUGGCUUUAAAGUUCUGAAUCCUAAUCGGUUUGAAUGGUGUCAGCAAUUUUUAUUGUGUAUUCUUUUGAACAUAGCAACAUGAAUUGGGUAUCUAGAGUACUAUAUGAGUUGAGAACACUGAACAGAACAAGGCUAUAUCAAUAACUACAUUUUGACAAAAAAUGCAGAUGGAACAUUAUAGUGUCAAUCUAAUCAUCAGAAAGGAGAGAGGUGAAAGUUUGUCCUUUGAUUUGCUGAAUGUUUUCUCUUUUAUGGCAAACACCUGAUCGGUGGUGUGUGAGUGGCACUUGGGGUCCGAUGUUGACAGUCAGAACAAUAGGAAACAUCAUUUUUUCCGCAGUAGUUAGACAAUCAGGCCGCUCAUCCACUCAAACACCUGCUCCCACAGCU
rnacentral:lncRNA from 1 species